CAACCUGAAAACUUGCAAUCUAAAGGCAAGUUUAUUACACUGAAAACACCAUUCUGCUGGUCUGCAAAGAUACCAAAUCGUAAAACUCCAGUUCGGUCCUGUUUUAGUUUCCUUGUGCGCUUACUUGUGCCUUUGUACUCUCAUAUGUAAGUGAAUUUUUGUUUUUCUCAUUGCAAGACACCCUUGAGACUUUGUCCAUAUCAGUGAUAUUAAGAAGAAGCUGUUCAAGGAUUUAGAUGGCAUAGCCAAGAGUUCUGCGAUUCUAGCUUCUAACACAAGUUCCAUCUCCAUCACUCGUCUUGCUUCUGCAACACAAAGACCUUGCCAGGUAAGAAGGAAGUUGUGUCUACAGAUAAAGCACCACCUGCUGUAGGACCAUACUCUCAGGCCAUCAAAGCCAACGGUUUCGUUUUCGUUUCAGGUGUUCUUGGACUUGUGCCUGAGGUUUGUUUCACGUCUUUUUAGAAUAAGUAGUCUUGAGUUUUGGUUUACCUUUUUGAUUAUAUAUUGUUCAUAUUCUAUGUUUGUUCUGGACACUGCUCGAGUACACGCUUUCAUCGUUUCUUUUUCCACAAAGAAACCAAUAGCUAGUGGUUAGUUCAAUAUCAUUGAUCAAUUUGAAGUU